AAGCAACCCAGAUAGAAAACUGGAAGCAGUGAUAGGUACAGACUUCUCAGUAUUUUACUUUAAGCAGAUACUGGAAGAUAAAUAUCCAAUUUGUGCAAACAAAACUAAUUACAUUUGUAUCGUGAUCGACAACAGCGGGUUUAUUGUUUUGCAUCCGUUUUACACAGAGACAACAACCUCAAUAAAAGCACCGGUUCAUAUAACUUAUAAGGAGGAAAGAAUUUCUCGUUCUCUGAUAAGCAAUGCAGUUAUGUAUAAACAACCGUGUAGAGAUACAGGAAAUAAAAAGGAACAGUUCACAUUUAGGGUUAAGCUGCCGAAGUCUGUUUCAAAUGGAUUUUUUGACUCGGAUGAAAGAUAUGAACUGCGUCCAGUAUCUGGGUCAAACGUUUAUAUUAUUCUUAAACAUAGACGCCUGCAGGACGAAGAAACAUGUUGCACGUCAGGGCCCUAUACGUCACAUAGCUCAAUACAGUGUGGCACAGGAGUAUGUAAUUGCCUCUGUUACAAAGAACUGUCCUUCAACGAAUGCAAGAAUGAAUAUGAUACCAUGUAAGAAC